rnacentral:ncRNA from 1 species
CACUUUUUUUUACAAAAAAUCAGUAAAAGCAUGCUGCCAUACAACCAUUCUCGGUUAAUGCAAUAUUCAUUAAGUGCAUUACUCAAAGGACACAACCAAAUAGCUAUUGACCAGUUUCGAUCCCACAACUAAUCGGUUUUCGGAGCGCGAGGUAAUGAUUAAGAGGGACAGACGGGGGCAUUCGUACUGUGCCGUUAGAGGUGGAAUUCUUGGAUCGGCGCAAGACGAACGACUGCAAAAGCAUUUUCCAAGAAUGUUUUCUUUAAUCAAGAGCGAAAGUCAGCGGUUCGAAGGCGGCCUAUUCGGCCGGGGAAAACCCCAAUAUCACCCACCUGUAAUCGCUUAGCGAUAUCCA